UACGAAGGGUGCUAGCGUUGUUCGGAAUCACUGGGCGUAAAGCGCGCGUAGGCGGCUUGCCAAGUCAGAGGUGAAAUGCCGGGGCUUAACCCCGGAACUGCCUUUGAAACUAGCGAGCUAGAGACUCGGAGGGGAUAGCGGAAUUCCUAAUGUAGCGGUGAAAUGCGUAGAUAUUAGGAGGAACACCGGUGGCGAAGGCGGCUAUCUGGACGAGUACUGACGCUGAGGCGCGAAAGCGUGGGGAUCAAACAGG
rnacentral:rRNA from 1 species